GAGGGUCUAGCUCAGUGGUAGAGCGCGUGCUUAGCAUGCACGAGGUCCUGGGUUCAAUCCCCAGCACCUCCA
rnacentral:tRNA from 1 species